GAUGAACGCUGGCGGCGUGCCUAAUACAUGCAAGUCGAGCGAACGGACGAGAAGCUUGCUUUUCUGAUGUUAGCGGCGGACGGGUGAGUAACACGUGGAUAACCUACCUAUAAGACUGGGAUAACUUCGGGAAACCGGAGCUAAUACCGGAUAAUAUUUUGAACCGCAUGGUUCAAUAGUGAAAGACGGUCUUGCUGUCACUUAUAGAUGGAUCCGCGCUGCAUUAGCUAGUUGGUAAGGUAACGGCUUACCAAGGCAACGAUGCUUAGCCGACCUGAGAGGGUGAUCGGCCACACUGGAACUGAGACACGGUCCAGACUCCUACGGGAGGCAGCAGUAGGGAAUCUUCCGCAAUGGGCGAAAGCCUGACGGAGCAACGCCGCGUGAGUGAUGAAGGUCUUCGGAUCGUAAAACUCUGUUAUUAGGGAAGAACAUAUGUGUAAGUAACUAUGCACAUCUUGACGGUACCUAAUCAGAAAGCCACGGCUAACUACGUG
rnacentral:rRNA from 1 species